GAGCGGUGCGUCGGGCGCAGGUCGACGCCGGCCCGCGUCGCGCUUGCGCUUACCAAGGAAGCCUCAGAUUCUUCAAUUCUUGCGUCCAAGAGUGUGAAGAAAUCAGUGGAUUCUCUGCCUGACGUGGAGACCUUCCGCGCCUCUCGUACCAGCACUAAGCACUCGGUCAAGGCGGUUGUUUCAGACGCGGCGCUGCUCCCCGGCCUGCUGGCUGCCCGACCGGCCGCACGACGCCGCGGGCCCUUUGCCGAGGUACGCCCCACUCUUCCCAACACCUUUCCCUCACUUUAACGCUCCACUCCGCCUCUUCCCGCUCCUUUCCAUCCCCACGCUCACACCUACUUCCUUUCUACAACAUACAUACACUUCAGGUAAAGAUGAAAAGAAGACGGAUAUACUUCACGUAACUAUAUGUUAAUUAUUGUCAUCAUUGCUGCUUGAUGAAAACCGUGCAAGUUGUAGUAAACGUGUCACGUGCAGUGAGUACUGAGAUGUCGUGCGUCGCACAGAGCCAGUGAGGCGCUGUCGGUGCGGGGCGCCGCCAUCGUGCCGGCACGCAAGCCGCAACGGCCGCCGCGCCUCCGUGACCCCACUCACCUCCGCGACCUCUGCGACCUUUGCGACCACCGGACCCUGAAACACCGCACUACAUAAUAUAUUAAUUAAAUAAUAAAUUCGUAAGCAUUGUUGG